AUGUCGUCGGACGAAGAAGGUCCCGGGGAGUGCUCCUGGUGCGGCGACAACCGGGGUUUCUGCGACGGGCCUCACCUGGACGAAGGUCGGCGCUUCAGCAUUAAGCUCGAGGAGGCCUUCGAUUGUGAUAUGCUUAUCCCAUGCCAUGCAAGACCCUAUGUCUUGGAGAGGAUGGGUUUUGAAGAUCAUGAGAGGAAUGAAACAAAGAAAAUUAACCUAAGGACCCAUCAUGGUAUGGAUUUUGAGGUGAAUCUAUACAAUUCUAAGAGCGUAUCCCAUUUUGGUUGCCCGGGUGGGGAAGCACUUUGCAACAUGUAUGAUUUUCAAGAGGGUAUGUUUGUCACCAUGGAUCUUGGUGAUCCUGACAUCGACCAAGACAAUUUGGACAUUUGGGUCCUUGUUGAUACGCUUCCAAUUCUACGGCUAUCUUACUUUCAUUCUUCAAAGAAUGUGCGGAACAUGGUAGACAGAACCAACUACACCGAUGGAUUUGAGUUAACUUAUCAGGAGAAAAGUCAUCUGGUCGCAUAUUGUACUGAUCUUGAGAAUUACAAUGCCUUUUAUCGAACUCCUCCAAAUUAUGGUCAAUACGUGCCACUAGUGCACCUGUUGAACCAUGAUAACUUCCAUGGAGAUAUCCUGAGAAUCCCGAUGGAUUGUGUGCCUCAUUUGAUGUAUCAGAAUGGUCGCCUUGAUGUUUUGAACAUACAGCCAGGUCAUCCUACGAAUCUCACCUGUCCAUACCGGAUCUCUAAAACCGGUGAACACAUGGUAAUCUUAGAAUGGAAAAAAUGUAUGGACAGUUGUAAGGAGGUUCUUGGAAGCAACAUUGUGCGAAAGGCAAGAAUUGGAGACAGGGUAAUCUCCAUUCUCCAUAAUGGAGAGUCAGGGGCUAUCUUGUUUUAUGCUAUUUUACCAAAGAGAAUAUAG
rnacentral:rRNA from 1 species